CAUAAUAAGUGUUUUAUGGCAACUUUUUUAAAUCCAUAUCCACCUUGUGUGCAAUGUCGGUCGAUCUUCUUCAUGGAGAUCGACCAAACAUCAAACCCUUUAUCUUUUAACACUCUUUGUCUGAAAAAUAUUAUGAAUAAACAAUUCAAAAUA
rnacentral:misc_RNA from 1 species